AAAACAAAAAAUGAAAAGUAUAUCUUAAAAAAGCAUACAUAUGCAUACUUCUUAAAAUGAAAACGAGUCUCACUCUAGCCUACUUCGUUUAAUAAUCAGUUUUUUAUAGGAAACCAACACAGGAGGCCAGUGUUCAUAUUCAAAAUGGCUAUUUGAGAGGUGGAAAAAAGGCACAGAGACCAGAACUUGGGCCUGAGAGGCCCUCUUGUUGUCAUUGCUGGUGUUCAUUUUGUUUUGGCCAUUUGUUUGUGAUAAGAAAUUGAAAAUGCCCAACCUCCGAAUACCAGCUUCUUCAGACAAGGUACAAUCACGUUCCACUUUCAACAACAAAUAGUGGAGGAGUUAAAAGCCUCAAAGCUACCAGAUCUCAAAGCGAAAUCUGUCAGUCAUGCAUGGCUCAACACAGCCAACUGGUUUACCCCGUAGAACUUAAUACAGAGCGUGCCCUCGGGAACAAUCCUUUUAUGUACAGAGUAGACUUUAACAGCCAAGUAAUUAAACACAGAAAGUAAGGGCUUAUAAUUAAAAUGCUGGCAAACCUGAACCAAGUGGCACAAGCAGGGCUGCUAUAACAUUUUUACAAUUCCUUUUUAUACAUAAUGUAUGAUCCUUCUGCUCAAGUUUCCUCUAUGCUCUUUGCCUGUGAAAUAAUUUACAUUAAUAAAUAAUUUAUUACCAUAACUCCUAAAGUAAUUAUGGGUUUCCAUGCAUUUUUUUUUUAGCAUAUGAAUUGUUUUGUUCUCUGUCCAUUUCUAUUUGUAUUUCUAUGACUUCUAGUGGCCUUUUUGCAAUAAUUGGUAUUGUGUUAGCUUUCUCACACAUGACUCCUAGACCUUCUCUUACCUGAGUGGCGAGGAAAAUGGGAUGUGUAAUGUCCACUGCCCCUGCACUAUGGUAUGCAUUUAAUGGGAGCCAUCAGCCAAGGGUGGUGAAUGGAGCCUGCUCUCACCCCACUCGCCCUGUGUCCCCAAAAAAGACUAAGCUAGCACCAGUGUGACCCUGGGCUGGCAUGAAGAGUGUUUCCCCCAGCAAAUGAUGGAGGACCUGGAGGGAGCCCACAUACCAAGGAUUCACAUGCAGCCCCGCCUGUCCAUCACAGAAUGACUCUCUCAGGCGCAGCCAAGCCCCCUGCAGCACCCGCUAGAAAUCAUGGCCACAACAGGGCUGGCUAGCCUAGCAGACCAGCUGACCGGUGGGUGGGCCACACCCAUGAAGCGGCCAGCUCACCAAGGUUUCCUGUGUCAAGAACACAAUAACCAGUCAUGUGCGGAGCUCUUUCCCAGAGAAGCUGCUUGCCGAGGAAGUUCUGGAUCAGCACAGAAGGACAGGCCACCUUCCUGGAUUCCACACUGACUUAACCAUCCAAUCUGCAGCCAACCAUGGAAGUGUCUGCAAAGAGUUCAAGAUGGCUGUCAGCCUCCCUCCCAGAUGACGAAGUCAGUGCAGCGGGAUUCGCACUGAAAGCCCACAAAGUCACUGAAUGGCAAACACUCAAGAGGCCCCCACAGCUAAGCAUGCAGCCGUGAAAGCCAGGCAGGACCCGCUUCCAGCAGGGAGAAUCCAGAGAAGGAAGUCGGCUUGGCCAAUGCCCAGGGCCUCACCUGCUGAGGAUGACCGCUCCAACGCCACAGGAGUGCCCGGCAUACAGCACACACCCACUGGGGGACCACAGCCCCAUACCACCCUCGCGCUUGGGUAGGGAUGCAAAGCUACCCAGGCUGGGAGCCCAGAAAACCCAAAUCAGGACGGGGCUGGGGAAAGCAGAAGAGGUGGAGAAUCCAGAGCGGCCUGUUAGCUGCGCCAGCAUGUGGGUGCCACUGAGCAGGGCUUGGGGUUCAGGCAUUAGCCAGAAGCAAACCAGGGAACCAACCCCUGGCUCUCGGUGCAGCUCUGCUCACAGCCUCUUUCCCCUAAGCUGGCACGUUCCACACAGAGGAGCCCCAGCCCGCCCAGGGAAUGUGGAUAUGCCACACCCCCAGAGGGCAGCCCUGGGCAGCACACAGGGGCCUCCGGCCCUCACUCACUCACUCACUCUCUCAGCAAGGAUUUAUCUGCAUUUGCCGCAGACCCAUUUCCCAGGCUGAAGCCAUCCACGUACUUGCGAUGUGAGCGCUCCGCACUCCCACACUGCCCCUCUCCAAGCCACCGGCGCCCUACCUGAAAGACCAGGCCAAGCUGACUGGUCCCCACCCAAGCCCUGAGCCCGCUCCCCAUUCUCCUCCCAGGACCCCCAGAGCUCUGCUUACAGCGCCCUCUGGCAACUUCCCACAGCAACCAGAGUAAAGCUUUGCAGAGCGGCCUUUGCA